CUCCUUGCAAGCCUAACACAUGCAAGUCGAGGGGUAACAUUGGUGCUUGCACCAGAUGACGACCGGCGCACGGGUGCGUAACGCGUAUGAAACCUACCUAAUACAGAGGGAUAGCCCAGAGAAAUUUGGAUUAAUACCUCAUGGUACUGUGAUCUCGCAUGGGAUUAUAGUUAAAGAUUUAUCGGUAUUAGAUGGUCAUGCGUUCUAUUAGUUAGUUGGUAAGGUAACGGCUUACCAAGACGGCGAUAGAUAGGGGCCCUGAGAGGGGGAUCCCCCACACUGGUACUGAGACACGGACCAGACUCCUACGGGAGGCAGCAGUGAGGAAUAUUGGACAAUGGAGGCAACUCUGAUCCAGCCAUGCCGCGUGAAGGAAGACUGCCCUAUGGGUUGUAAACUUCUUUUAUAGAGGAAGAAACGUGAUUACGUGUAAUCAUUUGACGGUACUCUACGAAUAAGGAUCGGCUAACUCCGUGCCAGCAGCCGCGGUAAUACGGAGGAUCCAAGCGUUAUCCGGAAUCAUUGGGUUUAAAGGGUCCGCAGGCGGUUGUUUAAGUCAGAAGUGAAAGUUUGCAGCUCAACUGUAAAAUUGCCUUUGAUACUGAAUAACUUGAGUUAUAAUGAAGUGGCUAGAAUAUGUAGUGUAGCGGUGAAAUGCAUAGAUAUUACAUAGAAUACCGAUUGCGAAGGCGAUCACUAAUUAUAUACUGACGCUGAGGGACGAAAGCGUGGGGAGCGAACAGGAUUAGAUAC
rnacentral:rRNA from 1 species